rnacentral:miRNA from 1 species
UCCCAUCCGAUCGGCAGUCGACG